rnacentral:rRNA from 1 species
CAGUAGCCGCGGUAAUACGUAGGGUGCGAGCGUUAAUCGGAAUUACUGGGCGUAAAGCGUGCGUAGGCGGUGAGUUAAGUCUGCUGUGAAAUCCCCGGGCUCAACCUGGGAAUGGCAGUGGAUACUGGCUCGCUAGAGUGUGUCAGAGGAUGGUGGAAUUCCCGGUGUAGCGGUGAAAUGCGUAGAGAUCGGGAGGAACAUCAGUGGCGAAGGCGGCCAUCUGGGACAACACUGACGCUGAGGCACGAAAGCGUGGGGAGCAAACAGGAUUAGAUACCCCUGUAGUCCCUGUCUCUUAUAC